rnacentral:rRNA from 1 species
GAUGAACGCUGGCGGCGUGCCUAAUACAUGCAAGUCGAGCGAACGGACGAGAAGCUUGCUUCUCUGAUGUUAGCGGCGGACGGGUGAGUAACACGUGGAUAACCUACCUAUAAGACUGGGAUAACUUCGGGAAACCGGAGCUAAUACCGGAUAAUAUUUUGAACCGCAUGGUUCAAAAGUGAAAGACGGUCUUGCUGUCACUUAUAGAUGGAUCCGCGCUGCAUUAGCUAGUUGGUAAGGUAACGGCUUACCAAGGCAACGAUGCAUAGCCGACCUGAGAGGGUGAUCGGCCACACUGGAACUGAGACACGGUCCAGACUCCUACGGGAGGCAGCAGUAGGGAAUCUUCCGCAAUGGGCGAAAGCCUGACGGAGCAACGCCGCGUGAGUGAUGAAGGUCUUCGGAUCGUAAAACUCUGUUAUUAGAGAAGAACAUAUGUGUAAGUAACUGUGCACAUCUUGACGGUACCUAAUCAGAAAGCCACGGCUAACUACGUG